UGUGGUCUUAUCUAGGCUUGUUAUAAGCCCAGGCAGGGUAGAUUUAGCAUAAUUCUUAAGGACUCUAGGGUUUUUGGAAUGAUGAAUGAGCAUUGGCUUCAACUUAAGGUUACAAGCUGCCUUAGCCCCUAACAGGUCAGGCUGUCCUCUGAAACCAGACAUUAACUUCUUUUGGCUAUGAAAGUCAUAGAUGUCAUCUUUCAAUAAAAGGCUGUUUCAUCUACAUUUAAAACCUGUUGUUAGUGUAGUCACCUUCAUCACUGAAGUUAGGUAGAUCUUCUGGGUAACUUGCUGCACCUUCUGCAUCAGCCCUUGCCAUUGUUUCACCUUGUACUUUUAUGUUAUGGAGACGGCUUCUUUCCUUAAACCUCAUGAAUCAACCUCUGCUAGCUGCAAACCCUUUUCCGCAGCUUCCUCAAUUCCCUCAGCCUUUAUAGAAUUGAAGAGAGUUAGGGCCUUGUUCUGAAUUAGGCCUUGGCCUAAGGGAAAUUGUAGCUAGUUUCAUUUUUUUUUUAUCUAGACCACACAAAUUUUCUCCAUGUUACCGG
rnacentral:lncRNA from 1 species